rnacentral:rRNA from 1 species
CCUACGGGUGGCAGCAGUAGGGAAUUUUCGGCAAUGGGGGGAACCCUGACCGAGCAACGCCGCGUGAAGGAAGAAGGAAUUCGUUCUGUAAAAUUCUGUUAUUAGGGAAGAAAGACGGAUGGAGUAAAUGACAUCCGUUUGACGGUACUUAAUGAGAAAGCCACGGCUAACUACGUGCCAGCAGCCGCGGUAAUACGUAGGUGGCAAGCGUUAUCCGGAUUUAUUGGGCGUAAAGAGGGCGCAGGCGGCUGCAAAGGUCUGUGGUGAAAGGCUAGAGCUUAACUUGAGUAAGCCAUAGAAACCGGGCGACUAGAGUGCAGGAGAGGAGCGUGGAAUUCCAUGUGUAGCGGUGAAAUGCGUAGAUAUAUGGAGGAACACCAGUGGCGAAGGCGACGAUCUGGCCUGCAACUGACGCUGAGGCCCGAAAGCGUGGGGAGCAAACAGGAUUAGAUACCCGGGUAGUC